GACGAACGCUGGCGGCGUGCUUCACACAUGCAAGUCGAACGAAGUGGCGAACGGGUGAGUAAUACGUGGGUAACCUGCCCUCCUUUUUGGGAUUAGCCUUGGAAACGGGGUCUAAUACCGAAUAUCGGGGGAUGGGCUCGCGGCUUAUCAGCUUGUUGGUGGAGUGGUGGACUACCAAGGCGGUGACGGGUAGCCGGCCUGAGAGGGUGACCGGCAACAUUGGGACUGAUAUACGGCCCAGACACCUACGAGAGGCAACAGUGGGGGAUAUUGCACAAUGGGCGAAAGCCUCGUGCAACGACGCCACGUGGGGGAUGAAGGCUUUCGGGUUUUAAACCUCUUUCGAUAUCGAACGGGUAGGUAGAGAAGAAGCGCCGGCUAACUACGUGCCAGCCGCCGCGGUAAUAC
rnacentral:rRNA from 1 species